rnacentral:rRNA from 1 species
UACAGGGGGGGCAAGCGUUGUUCGGAAUUACUGGGCGUAAAGGGCUCGUAGGUGGCCAACUAAGUCAGACGUGAAAUCCCUCAGCUUAACUGGGGAACUGCGUCUGAUACUGGAUGGCUUGAGUUUGGGAGAGGGACGCGGAAUUCCAGGUGUAGCGGUGAAAUGCGUAGAUAUCUGGAGGAACACCGGUGGCGAAGGCGGCGUCCUGGACCAAUACUGACACUGAGUGAGCGAAAGCCAGGGGAGCAAACGGG